UACGGGAGGCAGCAGUGGGGAAUAUUGCACAAUGGGCGCAAGCCUGAUGCAGCCAUGCCGCGUGUAUGAAGAAGGCCUUCGGGUUGUAAAGUACUUUCAGCGGGGAGGAAGGCGAUGUGGUUAAUAACCGCGUCGAUUGACGUUACCCGCAGAAGAAGCACCGGCUAACUCCGUGCCAGCAGCCGCGGUAAUACGGAGGGUGCAAGCGUUAAUCGGAAUUACUGGGCGUAAAGCGCACGCAGGCGGUCUGUUAAGUCAGAUGUGAAAUCCCCGGGCUUAACCUGGGAACUGCAUUUUGAAACUGGCAGGCUUGAGUCUCGUAGAGGGGGUAGAAUUCCAGGUGUAGCGGUGAAAUGCGUAGAGAUCUGGAGGAAUCCGGUGGCGAAGGCGGCCCCUGGGACGAAGACUGACGCUCAGGGUGCGAAAGCGUGGGGAGCAAACAGGGAUUAGGAUACC
rnacentral:rRNA from 1 species